rnacentral:snRNA from 1 species
GUGCUCAUUUCUAUGAUACGUAUGCAAAUCUGGGAAUAACAUAGAGAAAAUUAGCCUGACCCCUGCUCAAUAGUGACACUGUAAAAUAUGGAAUACUGUAAAGUAUU